rnacentral:rRNA from 1 species
UGCCACAGCCGUAUCACCCUGCAGCCCAAGACCGGUUACUCACUGAAGCUAAGCAGGGCUGAGCCUGGUCAAUACCAGAGACCACAUGGGAAAACUAGGUUGCUGUUGGAG